rnacentral:tRNA from 1 species
GCUCCCGUAGUGUAAUCGGCUAACACACUAGAUUUCCAAUCUAGUAAUGCCAGUUCGAGUCUGGUUGGGAGCU